rnacentral:rRNA from 1 species
ACGAGCGCACCCUUAUCCCUAGUUGCCAGCACAUCAUGGUGGGAACUCUAGGGAGACUGCCGGUGACAAACCGGAGGAAGGUGGGGAUGACGUCAGGUCAUCAUGGCCCUUACGGCCAGGGCUACACACGUGCUACAAUGGCGCGCACAGAGGGCUGCAAACCCGCGAGGGGGAGCUAAUCUCACAAAACGCGUCGUAGUCCGGAUCGCAGUCUGCAACUCGACUGCGUGAAGUCGGAAUCGCUAGUAAUCGCGAAUCAGAAUGUCGCGGUGAAUACGUUCCCGGGCCUUGUACACACCGCCCGUCACACCAUGGGAGUGGAUUGCACCAGAAGUGGUUAGUCUAACCUUCGGGAGGACGAUCACCACGGUGUGGUUCAUGACUGGGGUGAAGUCGUAACAAGGUAGCCGUAGGGGAACCUGGGGUUGGAUCACCUCCUU